CAAGCGGAUCUCUUAAAGCCGUUCUCAGUUCGGACUGUAGGCUGCAACUCGCCUACACGAAGCUGGAAUCGCUAGUAAUCGCGGAUCAGCACGCCGCGGUGAAUACGUUCCCGGGCCUUGUACACACCGCCCGUCACACCAUGAGAGUCUGUAACACCCAAAGCCGGUGGGAUAACCUUUAUAGGAGUCAGCCGUCUAAGGUAGGACAGAUGAUUAGGGUGAAGUCGUAACAAGGUAAC
rnacentral:rRNA from 1 species